rnacentral:rRNA from 1 species
GGAUGAGCUGUGGAUAGGGGUGAAAGGCUAAACAAACUUGGAAAUAGCUGGUUCUCUCCGAAAACUAUUUAGGUAGUGCCUCAAGUAUUACCGUCGGGGGUAGAGCACUGUUUAGGCUAGGGGGUCAUGGCGACUUACCAAACCUAUGCAAACUCCGAAUACCGACGAGUACAGCUUGGGAGACAGAGCACCGGGUGCUAACGUCCGGACUCAAGAGGGAAACAACCCAGACCGCCAGCUAAGGUCCCUAAAAUUGGCUAAGUGGGAAACGAAGUGGGAAGGCUAUAACAGUCAGGAUGUUGGCUUAGAAGCAGCCAUCAUUUAAAGAAAGCGUAAUAGCUCACUGAUCGAGUCGUCCUGCGCGGAAGAUGUAACGGGGCUCAAGCCAGUUACCGAAGCUGCGGAUAUGCAAUUUAUUGCAUAUGGUAGGAGAGCGUUCUGUAAGCCUGCGAAGGUGUCUUGUAAAGGAUGCUGGAGGUAUCAGAAGUGCGAAUGCUGACAUGAGUAGCGUUAAAGGGGGUGAAAAGCCCCCUCGCCGUAAGCGCAAGGUUUCCUACGCAACGUUCAUCGGCGUAGGGUGAGUCGGCCCCUAAGGCGAGGCAGAGAUGCGUAGCUGAUGGGAAACAGGUGAAUAUUCCUGUACCGAUUGCAAGUGCGAUGUGGGGACGGAGAAGGUUAGCUCAGCCGGGUGUUGGAUGUCCCGGUUCAAGCGUGUAGUCAUGCCCUCUAGGCAAAUCCGGAGGGCUAAGAUGAGGCGUGAUAACGAGUCUGCUUGCAGACGAAGUGAGUGAUACCCUGCUUCCAAGAAAAGCCACUAAGCUCCAGCUUGCAACGACCGUACCGCAAACCGACACUGGUGCGCGUGAUGAGUAUUCUCAGGCGCUUGAGAGAACUCUGGAGAAGGAACUCGGCAAAUUGACACCGUAACUUCGGAAGAAGGUGUGCCUUUAGUCAGUGAAGCCCCUCGCGGGUGGAGCUAAACGAGGCCGCAGAGAAUCGGUGGCUGCGACUGUUUAAUAAAAACACAGCACUCUGCAAAGACGAAAGUCGACGUAUAGGGUGUGACGCCUGCCCGGUGCUGGAAGAUUAAAUGAUGGGGUGCAAGCUCUUGACUGAAGUCCCAGUAAACGGCGGCCGUAACUAUAACGGUCCUAAGGUAGCGAAAUUCCUUGUCGGGUAAGUUCCGACCUGCACGAAUGGCGUAACGAUGGCCACACUGUCUCCUCCGCAGACUCAGCGAAGUUGAAAUGUUUGUGAUGAUGCAAUCUCCCCGCGGAAAGACGGAAAGACCCCAUGAACCUUUACUGUAGCUUUGUAUUGGACUUUGAACAGAUCUGUGUAGGAUAGGUGGGAGGC